rnacentral:rRNA from 1 species
CCUACGGGAGGUAGCAGUGGGGAAUAUUGCACAAUGGGGGAAACCCUGAUGCAGCGACGCCGCGUGAGUGAAGAAGUAUUUCGGUACGUAAAGCUCUAUCAGCAGGGAAGAAAAUGACGGUACCUGACUAAGAAGCCCCGGCUAACUACGUGCCAGCAGCCGCGGUAAUACGUAGGGGGCAAGCGUUAUCCGGAUUUACUGGGUGUAAAGGGAGCGUAGACGGCAGCGCAAGUCUGGAGUGAAAUCCCAUGGCUUAACCAUGGAACUGCUUUGGAAACUGUGCAGCUAGAGUGCAGGAGAGGUAAGCGGAAUUCCGAGUGUAGCGGUGAAAUGCGUAGAUAUUAGGAGGAACACCAGUGGCGAAGGCGGCUUACUGGACUGUAACUGACGUUGAGGCUCGAAAGCGUGGGGAGCAAACAGGAUUAGAUACCCCUGUAGUC